GCGCGAGUAUUGCAACGGGUUAGAGCGUGCGCCCCCCGGACAGGGUGAGAUGCGGGUUCGAGUCCCGCCCCGUGCA